rnacentral:rRNA from 1 species
GAUGAACGCUGGCGGCGUGCCUAAUACAUGCAAGUCGAGCGAACAGACGAGGAGCUUGCUCCUCUGACGUUAGCGGCGGACGGGUGAGUAACACGUGGAUAACCUACCUAUAAGACUGGGAUAACUUCGGGAAACCGGAGCUAAUACCGGAUAAUAUAUUGAACCGCAUGGUUCAAUAGUGAAAGACGGUUUUGCUGUCACUUAUAGAUGGAUCCGCGCCGCAUUAGCUAGUUGGUAAGGUAACGGCUUACCAAGGCAACGAUGCGUAGCCGACCUGAGAGGGUGGUCGGCCACACUGGAACUGAGACACGGUCCAGACUCCUACGGGAGGCAGCAGUAGGGAAUCUUCCGCAAUGGGCGAAAGCCUGACGGAGCAACGCCGCGUGAGUGAUGAAGGUCUUCGGAUCGUAAAACUCUGUUAUUAGGGAAGAACAAAUGUGUAAGUAACUAUGCACGCCUUGACGGUACCUAAUCAGAAAGCCACGGCUAACUACGUG